GCGGAGGAAAAGAAACCAACAGGGAUUGCCCUAGUAACGGCGAGUGAAGCGGCAACAGCUCAAAUUUGAAAUCUGGCGCAAGCCCGAAUUGUAAUUUGUAGAGGAUGCUUCUGGGCAGCGGCCGGUCUAAGUUCCUUGGAACAGGACGUCAUAGAGGGUGAGAAUCCCGUAUGUGACCGGCUGGCACCCUCCACGUAGCUCCUUCGACGAGUCGAGUUGUUUGGGAAUGCAGCUCUAAAUGGGAGGUAAAUUCCUUCUAAAGCUAAAUACCGGCCAGAGACCGAUAGCGCACAAGUAGAGUGAUCGAAAGAUGAAAAGCACUUUGGAAAGAGAGUUAAAAAGCACGUGAAAUUGUUGAAAGGGAAGCGCUUGCGACCAGACUUGUCGGCGGUGUUCCGCCGGUCUUCUGACCGGUUCACUCGCCGUCGGCAGGCCAGCAUCAUCUGGGGCCGCCGGAUAAAGGCUUGGGGAAUGUAGCUCCUCUCGGGGAGUGUUAUAGCCCCUCGCACAAUACGGCGCGCCCCGGGUGAGGUCCGCGUCUCGGCAAGGAUGCUGGCGUAAUGGUCGUAAGCGGCCCGUCUUGAAACACGGACCAAGGAGUCGAUUAUCUAUGCGAGUGUUCGGGCGUCAAACCCCUACGCGUAAUGAAAGUGAACGGAGGUGGGAACCUUUACCGGUGCACCAUCGACCGAUCCGGAUGUCUUCGGAUGGAUUUGAGUAAGAGCAUAGCUAAUCGGACCCGAAAGAUGGUGAACUAUGCCUGAAUAGGGUGAAGCCAGAGGAAACUCUGGUGGAGGCUCGCAGCGGUUCUGACGUGCAAAUCGAUCGUCAAAUUUGGGUAUAGGGGCGAAAGACUAAUCGAACCAUCUAGUAGCUGGUUCCUGCCGAAGUU
rnacentral:rRNA from 1 species